UCUUCUUCUUCUUCUUCUUCCUUCAUAUUUGAGAUUCCUUUUCCUUCUUUCCCAGAAAUUUUAUCCAUUUCUUUCCCUUCUAUUUUUUCUUCUCAACAGAACCCUAUUCUUCUUUUUCAUCCAUUCUCCUUGAAAUUCCAAGAAUUACUUGAAAUAAAAUCUCUUCUUCAGUUUUUCCAUUUCUAUCUCUUUCUAUCUCUUCUUCUUCUG
rnacentral:misc_RNA from 1 species